CUCAGGAUGAUGCUCUCCAGGUCCAUCCAUUUGGCUAGGAAUUUCAUAAAUUCAUUCUUUUUAAUAGCUGAGUAGUACUCCAUUGUGUAGAUGUACCACAUUUUCUGUAUCCAUUCCUCUGUUGAGGGGCAUCUGGGUUCUUUCCAGUUUCUGGCUAUUAUAAAUAAGGCUGCUAUGAACAUAGUGGAGCAUGUGUCCUUCUUACCAGUUGGGGCUUCUUCUGGAUAUAUGCCCAGGAGAGGUAUUGCUGGAUCCUCCGGUAGUACUAUGUCCAAUUUUCUGAGGAACCGCCAGACUGAUUUCCAGAGUGGUUGUACAAGCCUGCAAUCCCACCAACAAUGGAGGAGUGUUCCUCUUUCUCCACAUCCUCGCCAGCAUCUGCUGUCACCUGAAUUUUUGAUCUUAGCCAUUCUCACUGGUGUGAGGUGGAAUCUCAGGGUUGUUUUGAUUUGCAUUUCCCUGAUGAUUAAGGAUGUUGAACAUUUUUUCAGGUGCUUCUCUGCCAUUCGGUAUUCCUCAGGUGAGAAUUCUUUGUUCAGUUCUGAGCCCCAUUUUUUAAGGGGGUUAUUUGAUUUUCUGAGGUCCACCUUCUUGAGUUCUUUAUAUAUGUUGGAUAUUAGUCCCCUAUCUGAUUUAGGAUAGGUAAAGAUCCUUUCCCAGUCUGUUGGUGGUCUUUUUGUCUUAUAGACAGUGUCUUUUGCCUUGCAGAAACUUUGGAGUUUCAUUAGGUCCCAUUUGUCAAUUCUCGAUCUUACAGCACAAGCCAUUGCUGUUCUGUUCAGGAAUUUUUCCCCUGUGCCCAUAUCUUCAAGGCUUUUCCCCACUUUCUCCUCUAUAAGUUUCAGUGUCUCUGGUUUUAUGUGAAGUUCCUUGAUCCACUUAGAUUUGACCUUAGUACAAGGAGAUAAGUAUGGAUCGAUUCGCAUUCUUCUACAUGAUAACAACCAGUUGUGCCAGCACCAAUUGUUGAAAAUGCUGUCUUUCUUCCACUGGAUGGUUUUGGCUCCCUUGUCGAAGAUCAAGUGACCAUAGGUGUGUGGGUUCAUUUCUGGGUCUUCAAUUCUAUUCCAUUGGUCCACUUGUCUGUCUCUAUACCAGUACCAUGCAGUUUUUAUCACAAUUGCUCUGUAGUAAAGCUUUAGGUCAGGCAUGGUGAUUCCACCAGAGGUUCUUUUAUCCUUGAGAAGAGUUUUUGCUAUCCUCGGUUUUUUGUUAUUCCAGAUGAAUUUGCAAAUUGUUCCUUCUAAUUCGUUGAAGAAUUGAGUUGGAAUUUUAAUGGGGAUUGCAUUGAAUCUGUAGAUUGCUUUUGGCAAGAUAGCCAUUUUUACAAUGUUGGUCCUGCCAAUCCAUGAGCAUGGGAGAUCUUUCCAUCUUCUGAGAUCUUCUUUAAUUUCUUUCUUCAGGGACUUGAAGUUUUUAUCAUACAGAUCUUUCACUUCCUUCGUUAGAGUCACGCCGAGAUAUUUUAUAUUAUUUGUGGCUAUUGAGAAGGGUGUUGUUUCCCUAAUUUCUUUCUCAGCCUGUUUAUUCUUUGUGUAGAGAAAGGCCAUUGACUUGUUUGAGUUAAUUUUAUAUCCAGCUACUUCACCGAAGCUGUUUAUCAGGUUUAGGAGUUCUCUGUUGGAAUUUUUAGGGUCACUUAUAUAUACUAUCAUAUCAUCUGCAAAAAGUGAUAUUUUGACUUCCUCUUUUCCAAUUUGUAUCCCCUUGAUCUCCUUUUGUUGUCGAAUUGCUCUGGCUAAUACUUCAAGUACUAUGUUGAAAAGGUAGGGAGAAAGUGGGCAGCCUUGUCUAGUCCCUGAUUUUAGUGGGAUUGCUUCCAGCUUCUCUCCAUUUACUUUGAUGUUGGCUACUGGUUUGCUGUAGAUUGCUUUUAUCAUGUUUAGGUAUUGGCCUUGAAUUCCUGAUCUUUCCAGAACUUUUAUCAUGAAUGGGUGUUGGAUCUUGUCAAAUGCUUUUUCUGCAUCUAACGAGAUGAUCAUGUGGUUUUUGUCUUUGAGUUUGUUUAUAUAAUGGAUUACAUUGAUGGAUUUUCGUAUAUUAAACCAUCCCUGCAUCCCUGGAAUAAAACCUACUUGGUCAGGAUGGAUGAUUGCUUUAAUGUGUUCUUGGAUUCGGUUAGCGAGAAUUUUAUUAAGGAUUUUUGCAUCGAUGUUCAUAAGAGAAAUUGGUCUGAAGUUCUCUAUCUUUGUUGGAUCUUUCUGUGGUUUAGGUAUCAGAGUAAUAGUGGCUUCAUAAAAUGAGUUGGGUAGAAUACCUUCUACUUCUAUCUUGUGAAAAAGUUUGUGCAGAACUGGAGUUAGAUCUUCUUUG
rnacentral:lncRNA from 1 species